rnacentral:snRNA from 1 species
GUGCCUGCUUUGGUGGCACAGAUGUUAAAAUUGGAAAGAUACAGAGAAGAUUAGUAUGACCCUAUGCAAGAAUGACAUGGAAAAUUGUGAAGCAUUCUAUACUUUU